rnacentral:misc_RNA from 1 species
GAUGAAGAACGCAGCGAAAUGCGAUAAGUAGUGUGAAUUGCAGAAUUCAGUGAAUCAUCGAAUCUUUGAACGCACAUUGUGCCCUUUGGUAUUCCUUAGGGCAUGCCUGUUCGAGCGUCAUUUAAACCUUCAAGCUAAGCUUGGUGUUGGGUGACUGUCCGCUUCACUGCGGACUCGCCUCAAAAUUAUUGGCGGCCGGUACAUUGGCUUCGAGCGCAGCAGAAACGCGAACUCGGGCCCGUCGUAUUGGCUCCCAGAAGCUAUCUUCACAAUUUUGACCUCGGAUCAGGUAGGGAUACCCGCUGAACUUAAGCAUAUCAAUAAGCGGAGGA